rnacentral:rRNA from 1 species
UUNUGAACUGGGUGACUAGAGUGUGUCAGAGGGAGNUAGAAUUCCACGUGUAGCAGUGAAACGCGUAGAGAUGUGGAGGAAUACCGAUGGCGAAGGCAGCCUCCUGGGAUAACACUGACGUUCAUGCUCGAAAGCGUGGGUAGCAAACAGGAUUAGAUACCCUGGUAGUCCACGCCCUAAACGAUGUCAAUUAGCUGUUGGGCAACUUGAUUGCUUAGUAGCGUAGCUAACGCGUGAAAUUGACCGCCUGGGGAGUACGGUCGCAAGAUUAAAACUCAAAGGAAUUGACGGGGACCCGCACAAGCGGUGGAUGAUGUGGAUUAAUUCGAUGCAACGCGAAGAACCUUACCUGGUCUUGACAUGUACGGAAUCCUCCAGAGACGGAGGAGUGCCUUCGGGAGCCGUAACACAGGUGCUGCAUGGCUGUCGUCAGCUCGUGUCGUGAGAUGUUGGGUUAAGUCCCGCAACGAGCGCAACCCUUGUCAUUAGUUGCCAUCAUUUAGUUGGGCACUCUAAUGAGACUGCCGGUGACAAGCCGGAGGAAGGUGGGGAUGACGUCAAGUCCUCAUGGCCCUUAUGACCAGGGCUUCACACGUCAUACAAUGGUCGGUACAGAGGGUAGCCAAGCCGCGAGGUGGAGCCAAUCUCACAAAACCGAUCGUAGUCCGGAUUGCACUCUGCAACUCGAGUGCAUGAAGUCGGAACCGCUAGUAAUCGCAGGUCAGCA